GAGCCCAGCUCGGCGAGGCUCAACACCACAGGCGCUGCUGGCGGCGGCCAAAUGGCGAGGGAGGAGGCAUUCCGGGCUCUCGGCGGGGAAGAAAGCCAGCCGAGGCUGCAGGCACCUUUCUCGCCCCCCUGAGAGGAUUCCCCGGCCCGCAGCUUAGCCAGCCCCUCCUGCUUGCUCUCUCGCCGCUGUCCUGCCUGCUUUCUUCUCCCUCUCCACUCACCGGGCCCCCUCACGCUGCACCGUGUCGCCUUCGAUAACGGGAGUCGCCGCGUUCAGACGUGCGCUAAGGAGGAGGAGGAGGAGCGCUGACCCUCUGCUCAACUUUCAGUCGGGUCAACGUUCACAAUGCCCGACGCCUUCCAGAGACGGCUGCUGUUGCUGUGGGAGGGCGCUGGGCAAAUGGAGCUCGUCUGACGAGAGCGAGGCAGGUGAUUAAAUAGAGCGGGGGCGAUCCCAACCGGGCAGUGCUGCGUCCCCGUGUGACGUGAAGUCAAUGGAGAGCUAGAUUGCACCGUGCCUCGAGAGAACAUAUGGAUUACUGCAGUCUACCUACCGGCACUUCUGUGCAUGGCAGAGAGCACCACCAGGGAGAAAAUGAGCCCCCAACACUGAAUGCAAAACUGCCCUGUUUCACGAGCCAACUGUCAAAUGUUUGGAAUUCUGCCUCAAUAAAAAUAAUGAGUUAUCUAAAGUACAUGCACUUUGGGAGAAUUUGUUUCAAGUUCAUUACAUUCCAAUUUUUUAAAUACAUUUCCAAUGAAAUGCAAGUAACUAUACGGAAUUCAAAGAAGCCAUCCAUCCAUCCUGCACGCUAAAAAUAAUCCUGCAUGCACAUAUACACAAUUAAAAUGGUUAUU